rnacentral:rRNA from 1 species
CACCGGCGGCUCGAGUGGUAACCGCUAUUAUUGGGUCUAAAGGGUCUGUAGCCGGCCCUGUGAGUCUCUUGGGAAAUCCGGCAGCUCAACUGUCGGGCUAUCAGGAGAUACUGCAGGGCUCGAGACCGGGAGAGGUGAGAGGUACUUCAGGGGUAGGGGUGAAAUCUUGUAAUCCUUGAAGGACCACCAGUGGCGAAGGCGUCUCACCAGAACGGAUCUGACGGCAAGGGACGAAAGCUAGGGGC